ensembl:lncRNA
CAUAUGGCAUAAACACUUUGCUGUAUUGUACAGCCUUGUACUCUGAUCACAUAACACAUGCUUCAGAAAGCAUUAUGCAAUGUUAUACGCACUGAUUAAUGACUGCUUGCACAAGAAGUUUUUCAUUACCCUGAAUGCUAGCAUCCUGGGAAUGAUUAACUUUAUGACAUAACCCCUCAUCACAUAAAUAUGGAAGAUUCAAAUAUAGCCUUAGAAUAACAUGUUUUAGAAAUAACUGAAAACUUCCCUGCUUAGCACUGUGUACAGUACAUGAUUAAGAAAUGCUUUAAACCUUCAGAGUUGAGUAGGAAAGCCUAUUUGGGCAAACUGCACAUUGGAUUUAUUUUUAGGGUUUAAAGUUUUACCCAGGAUGAUUUUUUGCACACAGCAGCAUCUCAUUUGCAGUGUUUUUCUUCUGCUUGUGUAAGUUUGAACUUCCUGAGAAAAAUCCAUGCCAACAAUUUUCAGUGUUCAGCCAAUGAAUUAAACAGAGCAAGUUAAAUCUAGCCCUUAUUCAUGCCAGCAGCUGCAUGUGUGUAAAUGACUCAAUCCAGUAUGUUCAGCACGAUAGUGCACACAGUUGUGUGCUUAAGUCAGCUUGGUUAUAGAAGAGUAAAUACACAACAAUUGCUGUGAUUUUUCUGCAGACAAAAUAACAAAACAAAAUGUCCUGAAUGAAUCAGCUUGCAAACUUACAGUCUGAAAAGUGCUACACAUUCAAAUUUAACAUUUUUAUUUUCUCUUGAAUGGUUGUUCCAUGUUCGUAUUUUGCAGAUUCUGGUGUUAAAAACCAUGACAACAGUGCACCACAGUUGUUAUCAUCUGAAGGAUGUAGAAAAGAGGAAAAACAUUCUAUAGGUAUACCUGUUGCUUCAGAGAAGAAACAAAGAUGUUAUGGAUGUGAUACGCUGCUUCCAAUGUCCUGCUGUGCAAAAUGGAUUUCUGAGAACGUUAAUUCUGGAUCCAGUAAAAGCCGAGAGCAUUCGGAACUGUGUGGGACAAAGUGCUGGUGCUUUGAUCUCAGGGUUGAAUUCAGAUGUGAGAACGUGAGUAUGCAGCAGGAGACCAGCUGACCUGUAGCUUAGCAAAAGUAAGGAAGGCUGUUUGUGAGAUCAUAUCUGAGGGCCUGUUUAGGUGAUGCCAUACGCUAAAAAAAGCUGAAGCAGAAUUAAACUGAGAUCACAUAAGCAUACAGACUGAAAACUAAAUUCAGUUUCCUUUUAAGACAACAAUUAAGAUAAUUUUCUUUUUCCAUUUACAUAAAGGAAUUUGGAUCAAUUCUUAAGUCUGUAACCUUAAUCCUGUAACGCAUUCCAAAUAAAUGUGUAAUUUACUGUGAGAUCACUGAUAAUCUCAGCUAUUCACAGCCCCUUCCCUCUCCCCCUUCCUGCAUUCUUGAAUGGAGAGGAACCCUUUUGAAAAGGUCUAGAGAACACUAGAUAUUUUUAAACCCAUCAUUCCUCUUUAUUUUUUUUUUCCUUUUUUGGGCUAGUUAUUGACUGCUGACUGAGAAAAAAAUAACAACACAUUUCCCUCAUGAAUAAAUUAUUUCGUAAUUUUAAACUUCUUGCACAUUUCACAGUGAAGAAGUCCUGACCUUGCAGAACAAGAUACAUAAAGAAGCCUGUGAUUCUCCAUGACUUUUGUAACUCUCUUUUUUUCAAAAUGUGGAAGACAACCUAAAUACUGCCACUAGCAAGUCUUUUAAAUGCCAGAUAGAGUUAGUCUGCACAAAAUGUAUAGUCCACCAAGUACAAAGAUGAAUUGUGGGCAUCUUCCUUGGAGUUGAAGUUUGAGAGUUUGAAGUUGUAAGCUUAGAUCUUAAUUAAAUACCACAAUGACAACUAUACUAGAAAUUAUAUUUCUUAAACACUACCAAUUCCAAAAUCUCAUUGUUUUAUGAAAGUGAUUGUUCAUAAGCCAUCUUACAUGUUGUUUGAAGCAUCC